GAGCGGCAUGGCCGCGGCAACCGAAUAGCGAAAGUGCAGCGAUUUUGUGGCGACGCGACGUCUGCGAAUGUGCGUUUCCUAUGUUACUUAUUCGGAAGACGCGUCGCGUAGGCUGUUGAAGUCUGCCGAAUGAAGAGUACGGGAAGCGUGGGCCCUUCUGUGAAAGAACUGUAGCGCAAAGGCAUCCGGGCUUGAGAGGUGCCAGUGCCGGCAGACCUGCUCGACCACGUCACGGGGUGCUUUCGGCGGGUUCGGCGUGGGGUAUGACGUGCCCGCCUGACAGCAACUUCGCUGAGUACGACGUUGCUGCGCGAAUGGCGCGUUCACCACAGCACAUGCUUCAGGGUCGCUGUUACGAGCUGUUGGCUGGCGUGGAUUAGGCCGGAGUUGCCGCUGUUGCCUAACAGAACGUGUUGAAGGGAUACCGUAGCACCACAGCGGAAUUGGCACUGCCGGUCGCAAAAUGUCCACAGUUG